rnacentral:misc_RNA from 1 species
UUGAAUUUUAAUGAAGAGUUUGGUUGUAGCUGGCCCAUUCAUUAGGGCAUGUGCACACCUUCCUCUUUCAUCCCACACACACCUGUGAACCUGUGAGACAGAGAUGGGGAAUUUACUUGCUGCUUUUUGGAAUACAAAGGCAAUAGGUUAUUGGACCCCCCCUCUGUCUACUCAAUUAAUAUAACUCAAUUUAUUUUAAAACGAAUGUAAUGGAUGUAACACAUCUCAUAC